GAUCAUGGCUCAGGAUGAACGCUGGCGGCGUGCCUAACACAUGCAAGUUGAGCGAUUUACUUCGGUAAAGAGCGGCGGACGGGUGAGUAACGCGUGGGUAACCUACCCUGUACACACGGAUAACAUACCGAAAGGUAUGCUAAUACGGGAUAAUAUAUUUGAGAGGCAUCUCUUGAAUAUCAAAGGUGAGCCAGUACAGGAUGGACCCGCGUCUGAUUAGCUAGUUGGUAAGAUAACGG
rnacentral:rRNA from 1 species